GAGAGACUGCCUUAUUUACAGACCUCAUCCACAAGAAACCACACAGUUGAAAGGAUUUGGCCUGAAAUCAACAACCGUGUCAACUACCCACUAAAACUGCCCUACUCCAGCUGAUGGACCAGGAGGAGAUAGAUAUGGAGGAUAACCUUGUGCGAUACUGUGUGUCCAAUCUAACCUGUCAGCUGUGUAACAUUGGUCUUGCAAGUGUGGUAGAAUCAUGGAAUGCUCAUAGAAUCCCAG